rnacentral:lncRNA from 1 species
AGGAGGGGUACCAGCUUCAACGGUGUCCACUACAUCCCAACCCGGGAUCCACUAGAGCAGAGGGACGGCCUCGUGAUUAUCCAUCUCCUGGGGUAGGCCGCUGGAUAAUCGACCACUGGGAUCUGGGACAAUCACACACAUCACAGCACCACUCACUAUCACCAUGGGACCCCUGCACCAAGAAAGCCUUCCCUUCCUCCUCAUCGAGGCACCCGUACACAAAGUCAUUCAUGGCCUCCCAUGGCUACAACGCCAUAUCCCACCAUCUCCUUGUCGAGGAUGGAGAUUACUGCCUGUUCAGACGCUACUCCUGGAUUUCCAUGUUUAUUAAGAUCUGUAGGCAUUAGGACACCUCACAGCUAGUCUGGGUACCAGAGACAACCAGGCUACCUUAGGCUCUGAGACACCUGCUUCAUGUUAGUUAUGAUUAUAGUGUUACCAAAUAUACUGAAUUGAUGCUUAUCUGAAAAGGUGUGAUACAUACCAUGUUACGUGUGUGCCAAUUACCAUUGCCUAUAGUGUGUACCUGUUGUUUUUGUUUUACUGUAGUUUGUUUUACAGUAGUAUUUCUCCAGGGAAGUAACCAAGAUCUCCUCUCUUUCUUCUUACCGUUAUAUCUGAUAUGCAUUACAUAACCCUUUGCCAUCUCGUAUGUAAAACACGUGUCUUGGUGCCAAGUCACUGGUUAAAGUGUUAAUCUUUAACCAGUGUUCACAGUCGGUCUGCCAUAAAGGCCUGUUUGUUAAGUACAUCCCCAGUGUUACUAAAAUACAGUCUUACUCUGAAAACUUUUGAAAGGAUGUGAUAGGAUAACAAAGAUCAUGGGCUGAACUAGAAAGACACAUUAGAAAGGGUUCCAUAAUCAAACGGCAAAAACAUUUAUUUGCAGCUAUCCAAAACUAUUUAAAAAGUGACUGGUCACAUUACUAGUUAUGUAGCAUUAGUCUUUUGUUGAUUAUUUCAUAGCAACAAUACAAAUAGAAUAUAAAGUGUCAGUAAUCAAUGACAGUUAUUACUACAUUCAUCGUAUAGCUGUGUAUUAGUUAUGGCCAGUCUACAACACCAGUUUCUAGAUGGGAUUUUACAGAAAAUGGACCAUUACAAAACAUACCCCAAAAAAUAUGCAAAACCAUUAGGUGUAUAGCAGACACACGUACACAACUUUGACCCUAGAACAAUAAAUAAAGUGACAAAUGAUAAAACGACAGGAAAACAAGAAGAAUGCACUUCAAGGUAAUAGCGUAAACAAAGUUUCUCAACCCCUAUCUAAAAGUGUUUUCUCCCAUCUGUCAAAGAUGUUCUAAUGGCUAUCAGACAGUUCUCAGUAGUGCUUCUCAGCCUCCAUCUUUAGUCAAGCACCUAUCUUAAACCUUCAGCUGAACUAAGCUCCUCAAAUACAAACAAGAACAGUUUUCUGACCAUUUUAUUUUUGACCAUCAUUUUAGUAUUCUUCUGUCCAGACACAAUCAUUGAAGAACUGGGAUACUGUCUGUUGUAAGACAAAGAUGCUUCUGAGCAGACAGUCUUUGAGGGGUGUUUUUGCAGCAGGGGCUGGAGGUUGGGGGCUCAGUAGGUGGUGUCUAUAACGUUGCCCUCCAUCCGAUGUCUGUAGGCCACUCUUGCCUUGUGGGAAAAGUAGACAACUCCUCCUCCAGCACCAUCACUGGCAUAGGUUGACGGGACAAACUGGGGCUCUGCCUCAAUGGAUGGAACUGGAAGGGAGGAGAGAGGACAUCAUUAAAAACCCAUUAACUUUACAUUAACACUGACAUUAAUCUAUCUCGGUAAGUCACAUUCCCAUAUUGUACUACUACGGAUGUUGAUGAACUGUCAAAG